UUUGAAAAGCGCAGUGUUAUUGGAACAUAGCCACGCCCUUCCAUUUGCAGACUGUCUGUGGCUGCUUUCAAGCUACAACAGCAGGGCCGAGUGGUUGCAACAGAAACCCCAAAGCCUAUGGUGUCACAAAGCCUAAAAUGUUGACUCUCUGGCUCUUCAUAGAAAAAGUUUGCCAACCCUUGCCUGUGUUAAGAUCUUUACACGGGAUUUCGACCUUUUAACAAUUCCAGAAGGCAAGUACUACAUGUAAGUUCUUCUCCAUGACCUCCCAGUGAAGAAAAGAAACAUGGCAGAGAGGACCUUCAAAGUUCUCCCAACUCUGAAGUGAUCUGAUGCUUGGAUCUAUGUAUCAUCUUUCCAGAUGAGACUUUGUGUCUCAUGGAUGUGGCAAAGGCAGCAGAACUGCACCAAGACAGAGCUGGUAAAGAGCAACUCAAGUGGAAGUUCCCUGGGGACAAGUACUGCUAAAGUCAUUGAAGUUGCUGGCAUUAUGUUUCUACGAUUCUCUGAUCCCAAGUCCUAUAUGUUAUAACAAUAUUAGAGAGGAAGCACCAUCAUAAAUAAAACCAAAAAGCACACAGUUUUUAAUAAUUCAUUUGUCCGUAUCUUACCACCUACGUGAUGUCUUGUUUUAAAAGAAUUACAUGGAUUUGCAUUUCAAUAUUUUAGCUAUUACUCACUUGUACAGGUAGUCGAUUCCUC
rnacentral:lncRNA from 1 species